CAGCAGCCGCGGUAACACAGAGGGUGCGAGCGUUAAUCGGAUUUACUGGGCGUAAAGCGUGCGUAGGCGGCUUCUUAAGUCGGAUGUGAAAUCCCUGAGCUUAACUUAGGAAUUGCAUUCGAUACUGGGAAGCUAGAGUAUGGGAGAGGAUGGUAGAAUUCCAGGUGUAGCGGUGAAAUGCGUAGAGAUCUGGAGGAAUACCGAUGGCGAAGGCAGCCAUCUGGCCUAAUACUGACGCUGAGGUACGAAAGCAUGGGGAGCAAACAGGAUUAGAUACCCCUGUAGUCCCUGUCUCUUAUAC
rnacentral:rRNA from 1 species